AAUUUAAGUUCUUAAAUAAUAAAAUAUAGGAUAUUUAUUAUAAAGCUAUCCAUCAAGGUAAUUAAUUUUACUUACUUCUUGUUUAUAAGGAGCGGCCUGACUACCAGGAGACUUAUAGUUCGAGAAUAUGUUAAAAUUAUUUAUUGCAUUAGAUCUAUGGAUUGAAAGAAUUAUUCAAUUUUACACUAAACGCUUGGACUACCCGGGG
rnacentral:lncRNA from 1 species